AGUGAACGCUGGCGGUAGGCCUAACACAUGCGAGUCGAACGGCAGCACAGUAAGAGCUUGCUCUUACGGGUGGCGAGUGGCGGACGGGUGAGGAAUACAUCGGAAUCUACUUUUUCGUGGGGGAUAACGUAGGGAAACUUACGCUAAUACCGCAUACGACCUACGGGUGAAAGCAGGGGAUCUUCGGACCUUGCGCGAUUGAAUGAGCCGAUGUCGGAUUAGCUAGUUGGCGGGGUAAAGGCCCACCAAGGCGACGAUCCGUAGCUGGUCUGAGAGGAUGGUCGGCCACACUGGAGCUGAGCCACGGUCCAGACUCCUACGGGAGGCAGCAGUGGGGAAUAUUGGACAAUGGGCGCAAGCCUGAUCCAGCCAUACCGCGUGGGUGAAGGAGGCCUUCGGGUUGUAAAGCCCUUUUGUUGGGAAAGAAAAGCAGCAGGUUAAUACCCCGCUGUUCUGACGGUACCCAAUGAGUAAGCACCGGCUAACUUCGUG
rnacentral:rRNA from 1 species